UACGUAGGCAGCAAGCGUUGUUCGGAGUUACUGGGCGUAAAGAGUGUGUAGGCGGUUCUCUAAGUCUGGUGUGAAAUCUCCCGGCUUAACUGGGAGGGUGCGCCGAAAACUGGAGGGCUUGAGUAUGGGAGAGGAAAGCGGAAUUCCUGGUGUAGCGGUGAAAUGCGUAGAUAUCAGGAGGAACACCUGUGGUGUAGACGGCUUUCUGGACCAUCACUGACGCUGAGACACGAAAGCGUGGGGAGCAAACAGG
rnacentral:rRNA from 1 species